UUUAAAAAUUAACAAUAAUAGUUAAACUAUGCACAACAAUAAACACAAAUAAAAUAUAUUAAAUGGUGAUUAUAAGUUGAUGUUGAAAUUCAACACUCCCCUCAUCACCAACUUAUUUUAAAAUUAACGUGUCAUUUGAAAUAAGGGCUAAUUUAAACACAGAUAAAAACAUAGGGGUUUAUUUGGGUACAACAAAAGUAAACUAGUUCAAGGACUCUUUUAACAAUUUAACCAUUUGCUGAACAUUGUCCCAUUGGAAGACCUUGACUUUUGUGGGUAAAAUAUACAAAUAAAGAAGACUGUCAUUUCCUGGAAAGUGUGAAAGUGACAAUUUUCUUGACUCAGAUAAUUAGCUAAUCUCCUCCACUCGUUGCCUUUGUUAAAUCUCAUUUUCUCAUUGUCAUUUAAUUCUAGAAUACCAAAGCUCCCUUUGUGUACUUUCCUCUCUCCUUCCCAUCUUCUUCUGGUCAAAUGAUGCGUUAAGUUUUCUUAACCUUUGAGGUGAAGACACAUGCCUUAACUCAAAAUUUAUUUUCUCAUAGGUUCUAGUAUGAUAAAAUUAUCGUGACUUUAAUAAAAUUAGAAUUUAGUUGAGAAAAUAAUUUAAUUGAAUGAAUGAAUUAAAUUUAUUUUAAUUAAUUAUAUAAAUAAUAUUUUUACAAUGAAAACUUGAUAUUGGGUUGGAUAAUUAAAUGAGUUGAUUUAAGUUUAUAUAGACUUGAUCAUGGGUCGAGCCGGUGCAAAAUUUUAGGCCCAUUUUCUAAGCCCGGCCUGACCUACCCGUAUUAAUUUCUUUAGAUUGUUUUUAUGUAAAGAUAAAUUUAAAAAAUAUAAUACAUCAAAUACACUAAAAAUAUUAAAAUAAAUGUUUCUCAAUAAAUUAAAAAUAUAUUUUUAAAAUAAAUAUUUAUACUUAAAUAAUACUAAUACAGUUGCAACUCAACAAUCAAAUGUUUUUAAAUAGUAGCAAAAUUAACAAUAAAACAAAAAAUUCAAUAUCCAAACAAUAACAAUAAAAUAUUAACAAUACGAUAAUAAAAUUGUAACGAAACAACAAUAUAACAGCAGCAAACAACAACAGAAAAGAAAUAGUCAAAUUCGAGCUGGGUCAAAAUAUCUAGCCCAAGACCCGAGCUAUUUAGGAAAUGUGCCAAUAUUGGUAAGUUGAAUAAUAUUUUACUCAACAUUUACGUUCUAACACAUAAACUAUUAUUUUCCAGCUUUUAAAUUAAUUGCCAAUGAUAGAAAUAUGAAGUGCUUUAAUUAAUUAAAACCAACCAGAAUCACAUGCUCUACAAAUAGCUUGUGAUUUAUUCUUUGGUGCAUUAUCAACUUACCUUUUUCCUUAUGCAUUUUACAAGCUAUAUGUACGGUUGUGAUGCGCAACUUUUGUGGAACUUCCAUGAAAAUUCAGCCCAGGGGUGGUAGCUGCUUUGAUUUAUCCAAAUUCCUACAUAUGUAGCUUCGAGGAAGCAAAGAAGGUUUAUUAGUCAUUUUGAAAUUGGUGUCAAAAGCAAAAGCAACCCUUUUUUUUUCCUCAGCCAAUAAAAAUAUUUUAUUAAUAAGUCUUUAUCACCUCACCAAAAAAAAAGUGAGUUUCCAUGCUUUGGUGCAUUAUCAACUUUUACUUGUCCUUAUGCAUUUUGGAACAAUAUGUAUGACUGUAAUAUGCAGAUUUUCUUUGUAAAUUCAGCGAAAAAACAAAAGAAAAAAGGCGAAGAUUCUUGACAUCUUUGUAGCAUAUUUUUUUUGCAAUCAAUGAAUUAAAAUAAGACAAUUUUUAAUCUCACUCGUGGCAUUAAAAUAAAAGCUCCACUACAAAUGCUGGUGUACGACCUAUUUUUCACAUUUAUUAAAAGAGGAUUACAUUUUUAAUUUGAUUCUAAAUAGGGCCUUAUUUUAUAUUAUUAUAAUAGUCCAAACUAAUUUGGGCAUCAAUAUUUUGUGCUUUGAAAUUUACUUAAUAUCCAUCAACUAGAUUUGGUUACAAAAUCAACUUGUAACUUUUUUUUUCCUAUAGAUGAUUUGCUUAGACUAAUAUACUAAAUAAGUCAUAAGCUUUAUUCAAUUAAGCUCUUAAAAUUUUAUGGGUAAAUUAUCUCGUUAGUUAUUUUAAAUAAGGGUCAUUCCUAUUUUGGUUGCUCUAAUAUUUUUGUUAAUUUGGUAAUCCAAAAGGGAAAUUGAUCACUCUUCUGUAAAACGAUAAUGGAAUAUUGAUUGUGUAUUUCCAUAUUAGUCAUGCUGAAAUUUUUAUGAUGGAAGCAAUUUUUGUUUUAAAAAUUCACGUCAGUAUUUCAAUUGGAAUAAUUAAUAGUAAUAUUUACUUGGAUUAAUUGAUGAUAUUAUUGUAGUAAAGGAUCAAAUUAUUCCAUUUUAAAGUAUAAAAAUAAAAAUAUAAAUUUAGGAAUAAUAAUAGGACCAAAACAAAAUUUUAAUUGUAAGGACUAAAUUAUAAAAUCUAGAAAUUUUAGAAAAGGGACUGUUUUGUAAAAUUGUACAAAAAGAGGUUUAGAACUGAACUGCAGAAUAAUAAAAUCUAUUUUUGAGGAAUUAAAUUGCAGAAUAGUAGAAUUUUAGAUUCCAGGGACUAAUUCGUAAAAAUAUAAAAUUGAAAUAUGAGGGACUAUUUUCUUCGACAGUGAAGAGACCUUUCCUUUUGUUGCUCUAAAAGCUUCUCCUUUUUGUUUCUUCGACAGUGAAGAUAGUCAAUAUAGUCUUAUUAGUUUGGAAAAUGUCUUAUGGAAAAAAAAAUUGGUAAGAUAUUUUCCUUGAAAAUGUCUUGAUUUUACAUUUUUUUUCAAGAAUGAUUUCCUUUAGUAAUUCAUUUUCCACCAAAUAUAGACGGUAAAACAAUGAAAAUAUUUUACAUACAAACAAAUAGACCAUUAAUUAGAAAAUCGAUUCGAUUCUAUAUUUAAAAUAAAUGUUGGCAAGCAUAUUUGUUGGUAAAAAAUCUAUUAGACUCUCUGAUCAAUUUUGGCAUUAAGCAAAUUGGAGUCGCUUAAAAAAAUCGAAGCAAUUUAAAUCCCAUCAGUUUCUACAGUGAGUAAUUAAGGAUAAUUAAUCACAACAUUGAUGUUUUCCAUCAAAUGUAAAUAAUUUUAAUUGGUAUAAUAACAAAUUUACCCCUCAAAGUUUACAAUUAUAUCACUUGUCUUGAUUUAACAAAUUUAGCCAGCAAUAUUUGUGUAAAUGUUUAUACUAAACUUGUUGAAUUUUCAGAAUUAAGACCAAAUUGACAAAAAUGCAAACAUGGCUAAAUUUUUUGUUAUAUCAAUCAAAAUUAUGUACAAUUGACGAAAAAUAUUAAUGUCGUGAAUAAUUGUUCUUUGUUGCUCACUUUUGAAAUUAAGAAUGAUUAAAUUGCUUUGAUUUUUUUGAGAGGGACUAAUUUAUUCAAUUUCAAAAUUGAUAGAGAUUGGAGAUAUAUUUUUACGCAAACACACCUUACCUUUGUUCAGAAGAAAGGACUAAACAGGAAACCCCCAAAAGCACAAAGAAAAUCUAUCAUGGUUUCACCUAAGAAAAAUAGAAAUACAACAUCCUUCCUUCCAAAGACUUUUCAUUUAGGGGAAAAAAGUGGCGAUUAUUCUUGAGAAAGUUGUAGGAAAUUUAAGUUGAAUUCACCUAAAAUUGUCCAAUUAUUCUUAAGAAAGUUAUACCAAAUUUCAGUUCAAUCGACCCAAAUGACAAAGUGUGUAAAAGUCAAUAUUUUUUGUUAGAAAAUUUAUAAGAAAUUUUAUCACAACCCAAAACGAAAUUCAAGAAUGGUGACAAAUUUUUUUUUUGAAGUUAUACGUUUGAUUACAAAAUCAAUUAAUAUUUACUUUUUGUAGAGAUGAUUUAUCGCAUUAUUUAAAUAAUCUCUUGUACUUUUAUCAUACCCCAAAUAAGCCUUUAAAGUCUAAAUAACCCUCAAGUUUUUUACCUGUAUCUAGAUAAGUUUUAGCAUUCAAUUUAUAGGAAAAUAUUUAGUAUAUUGAUAAUAGAGGUUUUAGACUUCACAACUUGACAAAUUUUUAUCAGUAAAAACUCAUCGGCUAUGCUUCACCCUUUCAAUCUCAUUCCCAUUUAACUGACUCACUUUUUCUUCUUACCAUUACAAAAAUAGAAGCAAAAGCAAAGCUCCCUCAGUUUAUUUUGUUCUCUUUUCCUCAAUCUCACAAUCCACUAUCUGUUUUGCCCUUUGCUCGAUUUCGUAAUCUUCUUCGGGUUUUGCCUAUCGAGAAGAUGAGUGAAUGUUAGAGUAUAGAUAAAGACUCUAUUAGUUUAUUAGUUGUUAGUCUGUUAUACAAGCAGUUAUGCUGUUAACUGAAAUUGUUAGUAGCAAUUACUCAUACACAUAUUAUCAAUACUAUUGUUAUACUGGUUAAAUUCAAGAUAAUAAUACAAAAAUCAUUCUCUGCAUAUUCUAUUUUUCUUUCAACUUAAUGUAGAUAUUAACAUAAAGCAAGGUUGUGCCGUAUGCCUACUUUUUUAUUGUCUUACAUUAUAGAUGUGCUUUUUACUUGCAGAGUUUAAAGCAAGGUAGUAUAAGUCAGCCAAAACCUGGGGAUUAAGCUUUGACUUUUUAAAUAUGCUACUAUGAAGGGAAUGAAGAUGGCAGUGAUCGGUGUAAGAAAAACAGAUGAGGAAACAGAGAGUCAAGAGGGAAUUAAUGGCAGAUCUUUGGAAAGGCCAUUAUGCUUGGAAUUUUAGCUAUUCAAAAAGAGAGGGAAUGAAGAUGGCAGUGAUCGGCGUAAGAAAAACAGAUGAGGAAAUAGAAAGUCAAGAGGGAAUUAAUGGCAGAUCUUUGGAAAGGCCAUUAUGCUUGGAAUUUUAGCUAUACAAAAAAGAGAGGAAUAAGUAAGCUUCUAAUUUCUUCUACUGAAUUAUUGUCAUAUAUUUGUGGUUAAGCUGAGAUAUUGAGGCUUUAUUGCAACCUGUUAACAGAUUUGGCUUGUUGAUAUCAUUCAACUCUGAUAAUUUUAUAUUGCAUUAUUUACAGAAAUCUGUAGGUGUUUAGCUUAGCUGAACAUGUUAUGCGGCUGCAAUGUGGUGUUUGUGUCUUGAAACAAGCGAUGCGAUUUUCUAUAGCCAUUUGCUGCGUACAGUAAGUCUUCGUUGUGAAUUUACAGUCACUGUUUUGGGAGAAUGAUGUUAAGGGGGUGCUGGAACUCCAGCAAUCGUAAAACGUGGCUGUGAUUCGAGCUAUUAUACUGUGCUUGAAGCUUCGAACUAGAGCAUGACAGUUUCAUUGCGUAUCAAUUCAACCUCAGAUUCUUUGGGGGACGUAUCCGAGCUAAUUAAUUGGUCCAUCAAGUGAAAGAUAUCGAUUUUUGAAAAUGUCUUGCUAAGGCAGCGGCCAAGGAUGGGGUGGAUUGGAUUUUAAUGUUUAUGGAAUGGUAUUUAUUGGCAUUAUACAUUAUGUUGUACUGUUGUUUUUUGUUUACUGUGUUGCUUGUAAGCUGUAACUUUUACACUUGGUUUCCUUUAUUUUAUAUGAUCUUCAAACGAUGUUUAAUCAAAAAUUUUCCACUUGAUUGUAGACUUCAUUGUGUGAAACUUAAUCAAUUUCAUUAGAUUGUAAAAUUAGGUAGUCUUAAGAGUAUAUUGUAAUUUGAUAUUGCUAAUUUUACAUAAAGGUCCAUGGAUAAAUUAUACAUUGCGAAUUCUACAAAUGUUU
rnacentral:lncRNA from 1 species